rnacentral:misc_RNA from 1 species
AAGUCGUAACAAGGUUUCCGUAGGUGAACCUGCGGAAGGAUCAUUACUAAGUAUUCACAUACUUACCCAACCGUGAACUGUGUCUUCCCUCUUCUUAGUCUCCUUCUUGGAAACUAAAAGAGGCCCAUUUCACUUAACCUAGACUAAAUUGCUUGGACUAUUAGUAUAUUAUAAAAUAUACACAACUUUCAGCAACGGAUCUCUAGGCUCUU